GCAGUAUUAGAUCACCAUGGUCUCGAAGGAAAAGGAAACAUGCUCUUUCUCGGCAGCAAUGGAACAGUUUCUUCAACCCAGAUGGGGCCUUACAGGAUAGAGGAGUGAAAAUGUUAAAAAAAACUUCACAGUGGAGGGAGUCAAUCCAAGCAUCAGGGCUGAAGUUUGCCCUUUCCUUCUUGGAGUAAAAGAGUAUGAGAAACUAAGACGUCUACGCUGCAAGCUUGUAGAGCGCUAUGCCAAGCAACUGAAAGAUAUAGGUGAAAUUGGUUACACAGAGUGAGCCACUAAUCUAGAUGGUUCUGAAUCAUGAAGCUCUGAAACCUUCACUAGUGCCAGGCCGUUCUUUUCAACUGAGAGAGAUGGCAUGGUUAACAAUGCUGCUGGCUACCACAAAAUGAGGAAACCUUUGAAUCCAACUCAUGUCACAUUGAAGAAGAUGAAGGCAAGAGUGGUGUCUGGUGUCACUCAUUUUAAUACGUCUUCAGGGAAAAUAGAGCUUUGGACACUGAUUCUUCUGUUGAUGAUGAAACAGAAACCAUUCAGAUUUCUUCUCUUGUAGGAGCUGAUGAAGAGAAUGAUCAAGAAUGCAUGGUACCCGAUUAACAGAUGACACUGAUACUUGCAAACCGAAGAAAACAACUGAGGAUUUUGAAACAUGGCAGCGGAUCAUUUGUUUAGAUGCUAUCUGAGCUAAUGAUGAGUGGAUUAAGUACAAGAUUGGAUGAAAAGAAUUUAUCCCUUUUUCUA